ACGCACGCUGGCGGCGUGCUUAACCCAUGCCAGUCGCACGGAAAGGCCCUGCUUUUGUGGGGUGCUCGCGUGGCGAACGGGUGAGUAACACGUGAGUAACCUGCCCUUGACUUUGGGAUAACUUCAGGAAACUGGGGCUAAUACCGGAUAGGAGCUCCUGCUGCAUGGUGGGGGUUGGAAAGUUUCGGCGGUUGGGGAUGGACUCGCGGCUUAUCAGCUUGUUGGUGGGGUAGUGGCUUACCAAGGCUUUGACGGGUAGCCGGCCUGAGAGGGUGACCGGCCACAUUGGGACUGAGAUACGGCCCAGACUCCUACGGGAGGCAGCAGUGGGGAAUAUUGCACAAUGGGCGGAAGCCUGAUGCAGCAACGCCGCGUGCGGGAUGACGGCCUUCGGGUUGUAAACCGCUUUCGCCUGUGACGAAGCGUGAGUGACGGUAAUGGGUAAAGAAGCACCGGCUAACUACGUG
rnacentral:rRNA from 1 species